rnacentral:rRNA from 1 species
AUGGCGGUGGCCGUGCUGCUGGCCGCCAUCCUGGCGCUGUCCCCGCUGCCCCUUUCCCUCGCGUCCCCCUCUGCGGCGGCGGCGGCGGCCGACCGCAUCACGCGCCUGCCGGGCCAGCCGCCGGUCAACUUCUCCAUGUACUCGGGCUACGUCACCGUCGACGCCGCCGCGGGCCGCGCCCUCUUCUACUGGCUCGUCGAGGCCGCCGUCGCGAAGCCCGAGUCGGCGCCGCUCGUGCUCUGGCUCAACGGCGGGCCCGGCUGCUCCUCCGUCGGCUACGGCGCCUCCGAGGAGCUCGGAGCCUUCCGGAUCAACGCCGACGGCAGGACGCUCUCCGUCAACCCCUACUCCUGGAACAAAAUGGCGAACGUGCUGUUCCUGGACGCCCCCGCCGGCGUUGGGUACUCCUACUCCAACACCAGUUCCGAUCUGCUCAGCCCCGGCGACAACAAGACAGCUCAUGAUUCGUACACUUUCCUGGUGAAUUGGCUGGAGAGGUUUCCGCAGUACAAGUACCGCGAUUUCUACAUCGCCGGAGAGAGCUAUGGAGGGCACUAUGUCCCUCAGCUGUCUCAGCUAGUGUACAGGAACAACAAGGGAGUGAGGAAGCCCAUCCUGAACUUCAAAGGCUUCAUGGUCGGAAAUGCGGUCAUUGAUGAUUACCAUGAUUUCGUUGGAACGUUCGAGUAUUGGUGGACGCACGGGCUGAUCUCUGAUGACACCUAUCAGAAGCUGCAGUUGGCUUGUGAAUUCGAUUCAUCCGAGCACGCUUCUGAGGCAUGCAACAAGAUUUAUGAUGUUGCUGAAGCUGAGGAAGGCCUGAUCGACGCAUACAGCAUCUACACACCUACCUGUAAGAAGACCUCGCUUCAUAGGCGAAGGCAAAUCAAGGGCCGCAGGCCCUGGUUGCCAAGAGGAUAUGAUCCCUGCACUGAACAGUACUCCACGAAGUACUAUAAUCUACCAGAAGUGCAGAAAGCUUUUCGUGCCAAUGUCACUGGAAUACCGUAUGCCUGGACCGGCUGCAGUGAUGUCUUGUUUGAAUAUUGGAAAGAUUCACCGAGGUCCAUGCUUCCUAUUUACCGUGAACUGAUUGCAGCUGGCAUAAGAAUAUGGGUCUUCAGUGGUGAUGCCGAUUCCGUAGUACCCCUCACUGGUACAAGAUACUCCAUUGAUGCACUAUAUCUUCCGACUGUCACUAAUUGGUAUCCGUGGUAUGAUGAGGAAGAGGUUGCUGGUUGGUGCCAAGUGCACAAAGGUUUGACGUUGGUGACAAUCCGAGGCGCAGGACAUGAGGUUCCCCUCCAUCGUCCACGGCAAGCCUUGAAGCUUUUUGAGCAUUUCUUGCAAGAUAAGCCCAUGCCUCGGCCUGUACCUAGCAUUCAGUCAUUUUAG